AUGGCAGAGUUUGUGGAACCAAAUGCGAGGCUCUGGCUGUUCGAGUUAAAUGAUAAGUUGGAUCAAGCAAACUUCACCAAGUUGGUCGUCACACUCUGGUCGGUAUGGUACGCGAGAAGAAAGGCUAUUUAUGAAUCGAUUUUCCAGAGCCCCCAACAUACAGUGUCUUUUGUCAACAAUUUCAUUGCCGAGUUAGGCCUGCUACAAUCUAGUGGUACUAGCCAGGAGACCAGCUCUGCUCCGCGGCCGCAGGUCAGAAGGUGGCUUCCACCCCAGGCAGGUUUCGUGAAGGUUAACGUUGACGGUGUUGUUGCUAGAUCUCAUCAUGGCGGAGCAGUCACAGGCGUGUGUCGGGAUCAGACUGGCCUCUAUCUAGGGUCAUCAGCGGUGGUUUAUCGGGGAAUCAAUGACCCUCUCAUUCUGGAGACAUAUGCAUGCCGAGAAGCCUUGGCAUUAGCAGAUGACCUCGCGACCCGGGAGAUUUGUGUGGCUUCAUAUUGCCAGGAGGCGAUCAACGACAUCAACAGAGGGACAGGAGGUCCAAAUGCUUCUAUAGUACAUGAAAUAACGACCCGAUGUACCAGUUUUAUUUCUAGUUCUUUCAUACAUGAACGUAGGAACUUUAAUUUCGAGGCUCAUAAUCUCGCCAAGUUUGCUUGUAAUCUUGAAGUAGGUAGACAUCUUUGGUUGGGUAAUCCUCUGUUGACACACGAACACGUCACGUGUACCCUCGACGCCGGGGGUGAUGCACCGCAGCUCACGUCGAAGGAGACCCGACCGACAGCGCGAUACGCAAGACAGUCGGCGGGCGCUUUUGCAGACCCGAAACCCCACAUGCCCGGGAGGGACCCCGUCAGGGAGUGCGGCGGCUAUGGGCUGCCCUAG
rnacentral:rRNA from 1 species